rnacentral:rRNA from 1 species
CAAAUUCUUACGGGAGGCAGCAGUAGGAAAUCUUCCACAAUGGACGCAAGUCUGAUGGAGCAACGCCGCUUGAGUGAAGAAGGCUUUCGGGUCGUAAAACUCUGUUGUUGGAGAAGAAUGGUCGGCAGAGUAACUGUUGUCGGCGUGACGGUAUCCAACCAGAAAGCCACGGCUAACUACGUGCCAGCAGCCGCGGUAAUACGUAGGUGGCAAGCGUUAUCCGGAUUUAUUGGGCGUAAAGCGAGCGCAGGCGGUUUUUUAAGUCUGAUGUGAAAGCCCUCGGCUUAACCGAGGAAGCGCAUCGGAAACUGGGAAACUUGAGUGCAGAAGAGGACAGUGGAACUCCAUGUGUAGCGGUGAAAUGCGUAGAUAUAUGGAAGAACACCAGUGGCGAAGGCGGCUGUCUGGUCUGUAACUGACGCUGAGGCUCGAAAGCAUGGGUAGCGAACAGGAUUAGAUACCCUGGUAGUCCAUGCCGUAAACGAUGAAUGCUAGGUGUUGGAGGGUUUCCGCCCUUCAGUGCCGCAGCUAACGCAUUAAGCAUUCCGCCUGGGGAGUACGACCGCAAGGUUGAAACUCAAAGGAAUUGACGGGGGCCCGCACAAGCGGUGGAGCAUGUGGUUUAAUUCGAAGCAACGCGAAGAACCUUACCAGGUCUUGACAUCUUUUGAUCACCUGAGAGAUCAGGUUUCCCCUUCGGGGGCAAAAUGACAGGUGGUGCAUGGUUGUCGUCAGCUCGUGUCGUGAGAUGUUGGGUUAAGUCCCGCAACGAGCGCAACCCUUAUGACUAGUUGCCAGCAUUUAGUUGGGCACUCUAGUAAGACUGCCGGUGACAAACCGGAGGAAGGUGGGGAUGACGUCAAAUCAUCAUGCCCCUUAUGACCUGGGCUACACACGUGCUACAAUGGAUGGUACAACGAGUUGCGAGACCGCGAGGUCAAGCUAAUCUCUUAAAGCCAUUCUCAGUUCGGACUGUAGGCUGCAACUCGCCUACACGAAGUCGGAAUCGCUAGUAAUCGCGGAUCAGCACGCCGCGGUGAAUACGUUCCCGGGCCUUGUACACACCGCCCGUCACACCA